AGGGUAGCUCAGCUGGUUAGAGCGCCGCACUCAUAACGCGGAGGUCGGCGGUUCAAGUCCGCCCC
rnacentral:tRNA from 1 species